CGGAGGCAGCAGUGGGGAAUAUUGGACAAUGGGCGCAAGCCUGAUCCAGCAAUGCCGCGUGAGUGAAGAAGGCCUUAGGGUUGUAAAGCUCUUUCGGCGGGGACGAUGAUGACGGUACCCGCAGAAGAAGCCCCGGCUAACUCCGUGCCAGCAGCCGCGGUAAUACGGAGGGGGCUAGCGUUGUUCGGAAUUACUGGGCGUAAAGGGCGCGUAGGCGGUUCAUCAAGUCGGGCGUGAAAGGCCUGGGCUCAACCCGGGAAUGGCGCUCGAGACUGGUGGGCUUGGAGUCCGGGAGAGGAUGGUGGAAUUCCCAGUGUAGAGGUGAAAUUCGUAGAUAUUGGGAAGAACACCGGUGGCGAAGGCGGCCAUCUGGACCGGUACUGACGCUGAGGCGCGAAAGCGUGGGGAGCAAACAGGAUUAGAUACCCUAGUAG
rnacentral:rRNA from 1 species